CUAGCUACAGGCUUAACACAUGCAAGUCGAGGGGCAUCAGGAAGAAAGCUUGCUUUCUUUGCUGGCGACCGGCGCACGGGUGAGUAACACGUAUCCAACCUGCCCUUUACUCGGGGAUAGCCUUUCGAAAGAAAGAUUAAUACCCGAUAGCAUAAUGAUUCCGCAUGGUUUCAUUAUUAAAGGAUUCCGGUAAAGGAUGGGGAUGCGUUCCAUUAGGUUGUUGGUGAGGUAACGGCCCACCAAGCCUUCGAUGGAUAGGGGUUCUGAGAGGAAGGUCCCCCACAUUGGAACUGAGACACGGUCCAAACUCCUACGGGAGGCAGCAGUGAGGAAUAUUGGUCAAUGGGCGCUAGCCUGAACCAGCCAAGUAGCGUGAAGGAUGAAGGCUCUAUGGGUCGUAAACUUCUUUUAUAUAAGAAUAAAGUGCAGUAUGUAUACUGUUUUGUAUGUAUUAUAUGAAUAAGGAUCGGCUAACUCCGUGCCAGCAGCCGCGGUAAUACGGAGGAUCCGAGCGUUAUCCGGAUUUAUUGGGUUUAAAGGGAGCGUAGGUGGACUGGUAAGUCAGUUGUGAAAGUUUGCGGCUCAACCGUAAAAUUGCAGUUGAUACUGUCAGUCUUGAGUACAGUAGAGGUGGGCGGAAUUCGUGGUGUAGCGGUGAAAUGCUUAGAUAUCACGAAGAACUCCGAUUGCGAAGGCAGCUCACUGGACUGCAACUGACACUGAUGCUCGAAAGUGUGGGUAUCAAACAGGAUUAGAUACCCUGGUAGUCCACACAGUAAACGAUGAAUACUCGCUGUUUGCGAUAUACAGUAAGCGGCCAAGCGAAAGCAUUAAGUAUUCCACCUGGGGAGUACGCCGGCAACGGUGAAACUCAAAGGAAUUGACGGGGGCCCGCACAAGCGGAGGAACAUGUGGUUUAAUUCGAUGAUACGCGAGGAACCUUACCCGGGCUUAAAUUGCAGUGGAAUGAUGUGGAAACAUGUCAGUGAGCAAUCACCGCUGUGAAGGUGCUGCAUGGUUGUCGUCAGCUCGUGCCGUGAGGUGUCGGCUUAAGUGCCAUAACGAGCGCAACCCUUAUCUUUAGUUACUAACAGGUUAUGCUGAGGACUCUAGAGAGACUGCCGUCGUAAGAUGUGAGGAAGGUGGGGAUGACGUCAAAUCAGCACGGCCCUUACGUCCGGGGCUACACACGUGUUACAAUGGGGGGGUACAGAAGGCAGCUAGCGGGUGACCGUAUGCUAAUCCCAAAAACCUCUCUCAGUUCGGAUCGAAGUCUGCAACCCGACUUCGUGAAGCUGGAUUCGCUAGUAAUCGCGCAUCAGCCACGGCGCGGUGAAUACGUUCCCGGGCCUUGUACACACCGCCCGUCAAGCCAUGGGAGCCGGGGGUACCUGAAGUACGUAACCGCAAGGAUCGUCCUAGGGUAAAACUGG
rnacentral:rRNA from 1 species